UUACAGGCAACAUGCUGUUAGCAACGUAUAUGUGACUGGCAUACAGCAAAGCAGACCUGUGGCCUGAUCUCUGUACUGAUUCACAUGUGAAGACAAACAGCUGCAUAUUUACAUUAUGAUACGCACUGAUGUGACUGCAAGGGCUUCUCACCUAGAUGCAUAGCAGACUGGCCCAUGGGAAUUUCCAAAAAACAGUUGUUAUACAUAAAAGCGCCUCUUCUCUACAUCAUGCCAUCUACAUAUUGACAGGGUCCUGCUCUGUUGCCCAGACUAAAAUGCAGUGGCCCAAUUAUCACUCACUGCAGCCUUGACCUCCUGGGCUCAACCAAUCCUCCUGCCUCAGCUUCCUGAGUAGCUGGGACUACAGGC